GUCUUUUUGAUUAUAAUUUAAAGUCUAACCUGCCCACUGAAAUUUUUGAAGGGCCGCGGUAUUUUGACUGUGCAAAGGUAGCAUAAUCAUUAGUCUUUUAAUUGGAGGCUUGUAUGAAUGGUUGGAUGAGGUAUUAACUGUCUCAAUUUGAUAAAUAAUAGAAUUUUAUUUUUAAGUUAAAAAGCUUAAAUAAUAUUAAAAGACGAGAAGACCCUAUAGAUCUUUAUAAUUAAUUUUAUAAUAAUUUUUUAGAUAAAAUUUAUUUUUAUAAGGUUAAUUAUUAUAUUGGGGUGAUAAAAAAAUUUAUAAAACUUUUUUUUUAAAUAAACAAUGAUAUUUGAGUAAUUGAUCCAUUUUUUGUGAUUAUAAGAUUAAGUUACCUUAGGGAUAACAGCGUAAUUUUUUUGGAGAGUUCUUAUCGAUAAAAAAGAUUGCGACCUCGAUGUUGAAUUAAAGGUAAAUUUUAGGUGUAGAAGUUUAAAAUUUUGGUCUGUUCGACCAUUAAAUC
rnacentral:rRNA from 1 species